rnacentral:rRNA from 1 species
CAAGUCGAGCGGGGAAGGUAGCUUGCUACCUUACCUAGCGGCGGACGGGUGAGUAAUGCUUAGGAAUCUGCCUAUUAGUGGGGGACAACAUUUCGAAAGGAAUGCUAAUACCGCAUACGCCCUACGGGGGAAAGCAGGGGACCUUCGGGCCUUGCGCUAAUAGAUGAGCCUAAGUCAGAUUAGCUAGUUGGUGGGGUAAAGGCCUACCAAGGCGACGAUCUGUAGCGGGUCUGAGAGGAUGAUCCGCCACACUGGGACUGAGACACGGCCCAGACUCCUACGGGAGGCAGCAGUGGGGAAUAUUGGACAAUGGGGGGAACCCUGAUCCAGCCAUGCCGCGUGUGUGAAGAAGGCCUUUUGGUUGUAAAGCACUUUAAGCGAGGAGGAGGCUACUUAGAUUAAUACUCUGAGAUAGUGGACGUUACUCGCAGAAUAAGCACCGGCUAACUCUGUGCCAGCAGCCGCGGUAAUACAGAGGGUGCAAGCGUUAAUCGGAUUUACUGGGCGUAAAGCGUGCGUAGGUGGCCAAUUAAGUCAAAUGUGAAAUCCCCGAGCUUAACUUGGGAAUUGCAUUCGAUACUGGUUGGCUAGAGUAUGGGAGAGGAUGGUAGAAUUCCAGGUGUAGCGGUGAAAUGCGUAGAGAUCUGGAGGAAUACCGAUGGCGAAGGCAGCCAUCUGGCCUAAUACUGACACUGAGGUACGAAAGCAUGGGGAGCAAACAGGAUUAGAUACCCUGGUAGUCCAUGCCGUAAACGAUGUCUACUAGCCGUUGGGGUCUUUGAGACUUUAGUGGCGCAGCUAACGCGAUAAGUAGACCGCCUGGGGAGUACGGUCGCAAGACUAAAACUCAAAUGAAUUGACGG